UUUGUAGAAAUUAACUGAACUAUGUCAAUAUAUACAAGAAAAUCUUAAUCAAUUUAGCUAAUUUCAUUGUGGAUCACAAGACUAGGUCAACGCCCAUGCGGC